rnacentral:lncRNA from 1 species
AGUUCGGAGGGUCUCUGCGUCUCUGGGGUUUCUAUCACUGCUCCUUCCAGCCCUCAAGCGGCUACUCCGAAGAAUGACGAAGGGCCCUACUUGCGUAGAUUCGUGGGAUGAUUUUACCAAGAAGGAAAAGGGGGAAAAGAAAUCACAAUUAUUGAGGGUCCAGCCUUGGUCAGAUUCCGUGUCAGACCCUUCCAACUUGACAUUAUUGACUCUUCACAACUCUUCAUUUUGUAGUCCAGGAAGCAGGCUCCGAGAGACUGCCUAGAAAAAACAGCACCCGGAUCUGAAUUCGAGGCCGUCCCACACCCAUCCCGGUACGGUUCCCAGCAGAACUGAGCUGGAGUGGCCCUGAUGCAAAUGAACUUAGAUCCCAGCUGCUUGUGAUGGAAGCCAAUCCCAGCUUUCCCAAGCUUACAGGUUUUUUCCAGAAGAAGCCAACUUGAUCUCCCGGAACACGAAUUCAGCAGGCUCUCAUCUCAGAACUGCCUCCAAUCCAUCCCAUACCCCUUCACACUUCAGUCCUUGGUAUUUUCUCCGAUCACACCUUCCACUCCUCCUUCAUAUUUGCAAGUCUCUCCCUGCAGAAUCUGCCCCGAGGAGCAAAGGACAUUUUUCCAUGGGGAACAGAAUUUUAGAAUUUCCCUUUGUACCCAGUGAGGAACAAAGCUCUGGAAUUUUUACACAGAUUUCUAUUUCCCUGUGGAAGCACUGGAAAGGAAAUGUCAUUCUCACUUUGAAGAGGAAGAGGGAUGCAGCAAGGUAAUAAACGCUUUCUAAAUAAG